rnacentral:rRNA from 1 species
UACGUAGGGUGCGAGCGUUAAUCGGAGUUACUGGGCGUAAAGCGUGCGCAGGCGGCUUCGCAAGUCAGACGUGAAAUCCCCGGGCUUAACCUGGGAAUGGCGUUUGAAACUACGGAGCUGGAGUAUGGCAGAGGGGGGUGGAAUUCCACGUGUAGCGGUGAAAUGCGUAGAUAUGUGGAGGAACACCGAUGGCGAAGGCAGCCCCCUGGGCCAAUACUGACGCUCAUGCACGAAAGCGUGGGGAGCAAACAGG